rnacentral:rRNA from 1 species
GCUCAGGACGAACGCUGGCGGCGUGCUUAACACAUGCAAGUCGAGCGGUAAGGCCUUUCGGGGUACACGAGCGGCGAACGGGUGAGUAACACGUGGGUGAUCUGCCCUGCACUUCGGGAUAAGCCUGGGAAACUGGGUCUAAUACCGGAUAUGACCUCCUAUCGCAUGGUGGGUGGUGGAAAGAUUUAUCGGUGCAGGAUGGGCCCGCGGCCUAUCAGCUUGUUGGUGGGGUAAUGGCCUACCAAGGCGACGACGGGUAGCCGACCUGAGAGGGUGACCGGCCACACUGGGACUGAGACACGGCCCAGACUCCUACGGGAGGCAGCAGUGGGGAAUAUUGCACAAUGGGCGAAAGCCUGAUGCAGCGACGCCGCGUGAGGGAUGACGGCCUUCGGGUUGUAAACCUCUUUCAGCAGGGACGAAGCGCAAGUGACGGUACCUGCAGAAGAAGCACCGGCUAACUACGUGCCAGCAGCCGCGGUAAUACGUAGGGUGCAAGCGUUGUCCGGAAUUACUGGGCGUAAAGAGUUCGUAGGCGGUUUGUCGCGUCGUUUGUGAAAACCAGCAGCUCAACUGCUGGCUUGCAGGCGAUACGGGCAGACUUGAGUACUGCAGGGGAGACUGGAAUUCCUGGUGUAGCGGUGAAAUGCGCAGAUAUCAGGAGGAACACCGGUGGCGAAGGCGGGUCUCUGGGCAGUAACUGACGCUGAGGAACGAAAGCGUGGGUAGCGAACAGGAUUAGAUACCCUGGUAGUCCACGCCGUAAACGGUGGGCGCUAGGUGUGGGUUCCUUCCACGGAAUCCGUGCCGUAGCUAACGCAUAAGCGCCC